rnacentral:rRNA from 1 species
UACGGAGGAUCCAAGCGUUAUCCGGAAUCAUUGGGUUUAAAGGGUCCGUAGGCGGUUUUGUAAGUCAGUGGUGAAAGCCCAUCGCUCAACGGUGGAACGGCCAUUGAUACUGCAAGACUUGAAUUAUUAGGAAGUAACUAGAAUAUGUAGUGUAGCGGUGAAAUGCUUAGAGACUACAUGGAAUACCAAUUGCGAAGGCAGGUUACUACUAGUGGAUUGACGCUGAUGGACGAAAGCGUGGGGAGCGAACAGG